rnacentral:rRNA from 1 species
CCUACGGGGGGCUGCAGUGGGGAAUAUUGGACAAUGGGCGAAAGCCUGAUCCAGCCAUGCCGCGUGUGUGAAGAAGGCCUUCGGGUUGUAAAGCACUUUCAGUGGGGAAGAAAGCCUUGGGGCUAAUACCCUCGAGGAAGGACAUCACCCACAGAAGAAGCACCGGCUAACUCCGUGCCAGCAGCCGCGGUAAUACGGAGGGUGCGAGCGUUAAUCGGAAUUACUGGGCGUAAAGCGCGCGUAGGCGGUCUGAUAAGCCGGUUGUGAAAGCCCCGGGCUCAACCUGGGAACGGCAUCCGGAACUGUCAGGCUAGAGUGCAGGAGAGGAAGGUAGAAUUCCCGGUGUAGCGGUGAAAUGCGUAGAGAUCGGGAGGAAUACCAGUGGCGAAGGCGGCCUUCUAGACUGACACUGACGCUGAGGUGCGAAAGCGUGGGUAGCAAACAGGAUUAGAUACCCGGGUAGUC